AGUCGAACGGUAACAGGUCUUCGGAUGCUGACGAGUGGCGAACGGGUGAGUAAUACAUCGGAACGUGCCUAGUAGUGGGGGAUAACUACUCGAAAGAGUGGCUAAUACCGCAUGAGAUCUACGGAUGAAAGCAGGGGAUCGCAAGACCUUGUGCUACUAGAGCGGCCGAUGGCAGAUUAGGUAGUUGGUGGGAUAAAAGCUUACCAAGCCGACGAUCUGUAGCUGGUCUGAGAGGACGAUCAGCCACACUGGGACUGAGACACGGCCCAGACUCCUACGGGAGGCAGCAGUGGGGAAUUUUGGACAAUGGGCGCAAGCCUGAUCCAGCAAUGCCGCGUGCAGGAUGAAGGCCUUCGGGUUGUAAACUGCUUUUGUACGGAACGAAAAGCCCUGGGUUAAUACCCUGGGGUCAUGACGGUACCGUAAGAAUAAGCACCGGCUAACUACGUGCCAGCAGCCGCGGUAAUACGUAGGGUGCAAGCGUUAAUCGGAAUUACUGGGCGUAAAGCGUGCGCAGGCGGUUUUGUAAGACAGAGGUGAAAUCCCCGGGCUCAACCUGGGAACUGCCUUUGUGACUGC
rnacentral:rRNA from 1 species